GAGGCGGUGGAGGCUCGUCGGGUACAAGGGGCGGGAGGCUUUAGUCAGCCGGUGGUGCUGCGGGUCGGGCGGUGUGGUGUAGUGCGCGGCCUGCGCCAUGAAGGAGACGUGCGGUACUUCUAGGCUGCAGAACCAGCCUCAAAGGCACUAUGGAAUUACCUCUCCGAUUAGCUUGGCUCCUCCGAAGGAUAUAGAUCGCAUUCAUACUCAGAAGCUAGUUGAAGCAAUGAAGCCAUUUGGGGUAUUUGAAGAUGAGGAAGAACUGAAUCACAGGCUGGUUGUUCUUGGUAAACUGAAUAACUUGGUCAAAGAGUGGAUUUCAGAACUUGGUGAGAGCAAGAAUCUUCCCCCUUCAGCAGUAGCAAAUGUUGGUGGAAAAAUAUUUACGUUUGGUUCUUACAGGCUUGGAGUACACACUAAAGGUGCUGACAUAGAUGCUGUUUGUGUUGCUCCUAGACAUGUGGAAAGAUCGGAUUUUUUUCAGUCUUUCUUUGAAAAACUAAAACAUCAGGAGGAAAUAAAAAAUCUAAGAGCAGUUGAAGAUGCAUAUGUACCAGUUGUCAAGUUUGAGUUUGAUGGCAUUGAGAUUGAUCUUGUGUUUGCUAGACUGUCUUUGCAAACUGUUUCUGAUAAUCUUGAUCUUGGAGAUGACUCGCGUCUGAGAAGCCUGGAUAUAAGAUGUAUACGGAGCUUAAAUGGCUGCAGAGUUACUGAUGAAAUACUACAUUUAGUGCCAAAUAAAGAGAACUUCCGGCUCACGCUCCGUGCAAUUAAACUGUGGGCAAAACGACGUGGCAUUUACUCCAACAUGCUGGGAUUUCUUGGUGGGGUUUCCUGGGCAAUGCUAGUAGCAAGAACAUGUCAACUCUACCCAAAUGCGUUGGCUUCUACUCUUGUUAAUAAGUUCUUCUUGGUUUUCUCAAAGUGGGAAUGGCCAAAUCCUGUGUUGCUGAAACAACCUGAAGAGAGCAAUCUUAAUUUACCAGUAUGGGACCCGAGGGUGAACCCAUCAGACCGAUAUCAUGUAAUGCCUAUCAUCACCCCAGCCUAUCCGCAGCAGAACUCCACAUAUAAUGUAUCUACAUCAACGCGAGCGGUAAUGGUAGAGGAGUUCAAACACGGUCUUGCAGUUACAAAUGAGAUUCUCCAAGGAAAAUCAGACUGGUCAAAGCUUUUUGAACCACUGAACUUCUUUCAGAAGUACAAACAUUAUAUUGUGCUGACUGCUAGUGCCCUUAGUGAAGAGCAUCACUUAGAGUGGAUUGGCCUUGUGGAAUCUAAAAUUCGUGUGCUGGUGGCAAACUUGGAGAAGAAUGAAUUUAUAACUAUUGCACAUGUAAAGCCACAGUCUUUCCCUGGCAACCAAGAACUCUGUAAACGGAAUGGAUAUGUGUCAAUGUGGUUUCUUGGAAUCGUAUUUAGGAAAGUGGAAAAUGCAGAAAGUGUUCACAUUGAUUUAACAUACGUUAUACAGUCAUUCACAGAUACAGUUUACAGGCAGGCUAGCAACCUCAAUAUGCUAAAGGAAGGUAUGAAGAUUGAGGCAGCUCAUGUGAAGAGAAAGCAUCUCCACUAUUUUUUGCCUGCAGAAACCUUACAGAAAAGAAAGAAGCAAAGCAUGCCAGAUAUUAGCCAAAAUGCUGGUGGGCUUCAGUGCAAAAGGACUUCUUCAGAAGGAAGCUGUCUGGACAGUUCCAGAGACAAGGACUCCAGAACAUCAUAUAAUUCCUCUUUGUUAAAUAAGAUAUCUAAAUUGGACACCUCUAGAGCAGAGACAGAAAGAAAUGCUGGAUAUCAGAGAUCUAAUGGUGCUAACAAUAAGGACAAGAUACCUCGUGUACCUGUGCCAUCAGUGUCUAAGGGACUUUCCAUUCCUGUUAUUGAUUCAAAAAUGGAGGCUACGAUUGCAAUAAGAACAUCAGGACCUCCACUCGGUUGUACCAUUCCAGGACGUAACACAAUUUCUCAACUCAGAGCACACUUUGUCCAAGGACAGCAUGAAUUAAGUGGGACUCCAAUAACAGAUCCGAAGAAUGUUGCGCCUAAACGACCUUAUUCACCGACCUCUAAAGGGCCUCGUUCACCUACCUCAGAAGAAUGCCCCAAAAAAUCAAUAGACGGAGAAAAGUUAACUGGCCAGGAUUCAGCAUUCAAAGAUGGUAGCAAUCCAGAAGAUGUCAGGAGAAGACCUACAGAAAAUGGUGUUCUUGGAGGAAAAUCCUUGCUGAUUCCAGUUAUCAACACAUCAAGAUCACAGAGGCUUUCCAGUAAAGAACUACCAGAUUCUUCAUCUCCUGUUCCAACAAAUAGUAUUCGUAUUAUUAAAAGAUCCAUCAAGCUUACCCUUAACGGGUAACCAGGAUCUCUUCAGUUCACCUUUCAGUAACAAGCAAGCUGAGAUGGAUUGGCCAGAAGCCCAACUAUGGAGCUCAGAUAGAGGUUCGUAUGUUCAGACUCAAAUCUUGAAUGUGUUCCACCUUAAAGGUCAUCCCUGAUUUCAGUGGCUGUGAUGUCAGUGGGGAAACCCUGCUGCACUUUUGUUUGGCCGUGUGUGAAGGUCUAAAAACGUCAAAUAAAAGCAAAGCAGCUACUCUAAAGUUUAAGGCUUCAGUAUAGAAAUGAACCACAGGUUCUUAGUGACUCCUAAGUAAGACUGCAUUAUUUCAUGAGUUCCUGCUUGUAUGUGAACUUGGGUGUCUUGGUCACUAUUUCUUUUGUUUAUAUUGUUUUGUUUUUCAACUACUUAUUAAUGAGAGCUUUUGUUGAGAAACAUGGGAUGAUCUUGUAUUUAAGUAAUAGAUGCCCCUAACACCACUGUUUAAGAUGACUUCUUAUCUGAAAUAAUGGGACAGAAGAUGAACCAGGGUGUCCACCAAAAAGUUCCUUAUUUGUAUUGAGUUUUGGUACUAUUGUGUACUUUUCUUUCAAGGCUUUCCCUGACACUGUGUAAAAUUUUUUCAACACUUAAUAAUUCUUUACAACACUUCCAAGAAGCUCUUUAAAAUCUCUGCUUUAACAGAUGAGGAAUUAAAGGCACAGAGAUUAACAAUUUAUGAAGGGUCAGAGAGAAAUUCUGUGGCAAUACCAGAAACUGAAGCCAACUUCCCUGAAGGUGUGAGAUUGUGUUGUUUGACCCUUUUUCUUCAAUUAUGUUGUCCAAGCUUGUAACGGGGAUUCCCAGUAUAUAUUUGUUACUGCAUCUGCCUAAGGACUGUUGUAACUAUCUCUAGAGACUAUAAGUAAAACCAACUGCUGAUUUUUAAUCCACUGCAUGUGUGAUAGCCAGCUAUCUUUCAUGUUGCUUUUUUUAUAAGCUUGUAGAUUAAAUGUUUUCUUUCAGACCUUGGUUACCUUCUUAAGAAGGAAAAAAAUUAAUCACGAAUUUAUUUCCUGCUUGUUUCUGGUUCUCCACAAAAAAGCCUCGCAAAGAAUUCUAGCCCAAUGCGCAGUACCACAGGACUGUCAGAUCCAAGUUAACACCUUACUAAGUGCUGAUGGGGCUGUGUCUUUUUAUCACUCAGACAAAAUUCCUGUAAACCCAAGUGGAAGCUUUGCCUGUAAGAGAGGUACAUGAUUGCGUUCUUGACUCUUAACUGUACUGUAUUGAUAUGAAUGUAAUAUUGCAUGGCCCCAAAUUUAAUAAACACAUUCCUGUAAU